UACAGAGGGUGCGAGCGUUAAUCGGGAUUACUGGGCGUAAAGGGUGCGUAGGUGGUUGAAUAAGUUAGGUGUGAAAGUCCUGGGCUUAACCUGGGGAUUGCGCCUAAUACUGUUUUACUAGAGUACUGUAGAGGAAGGUGGAAUUUCCGGUGUAGCGGUGAAAUGCGUAGAUAUCGGGAGGAACACCUGAGGCGAAGGCGGGCUACUGGGCCGAUACUGACGCUGAUGCGCGAAAGCCAGGGGAGCGAACGGG
rnacentral:rRNA from 1 species